CUAGGACGAACGCUGGCGGCGUGCUUAACACAUGCAAGUCGAACGAUGACGAUGGUGCUUGCACCGUCUGAUUAGUGGCGAACGGGUGAGUAACACGUGAGUAACCUGCCCUCCUCUUCGGGAUAACCGCCGGAAACGGUGGCUAAUACCGGAUAUGAAUGUCUGCCGCAUGGUGGGUGUUGGAAAGAUUUAUCGGUGGGGGAUGGACUCGCGGCCUAUCAGUUUGUUGGUGAGGUAAUGGCUCACCAAGGCGAUGACGGGUAGCCGGCCUGAGAGGGCGACCGGCCACACUGGGACUGAGACACGGCCCAGACUCCUACGGGAGGCAGCAGUGGGGAAUAUUGCACAAUGGGCGAAAGCCUGAUUGCAGCGACGCCGCGUGGGGGAUGACGGCCUUCGGGUUGUAAACCUCUUUCAGCAGGGAAGAAGCGAGAGUGACGGUACCUGCGGAAGAAGCGCCGGCUAACUACGUGCCAGCCGCAGC
rnacentral:rRNA from 1 species